ACAAAAACGGUAUGGAACGUACAUUUUGAGAGGCGCAGAGAAUAGGCGAUCACGCAGAGUAGGAACAAAAGCCGUCAGUUGUGAAAGAACUAAACAGUGGAGCUCCAGUGUUUGGGUUUCUGGCCACGUUCGCCACUGACGCGUGAGAGGAGGGGACCGACAGUUUCCAACCGCUCUCUCUCUCAUCUAGGCUGGGGAGAAUACUGUGUUAGACUCAAUAGCACAAUAGCCCUAUGUUUAGGGUCUCUCUUUCUUGCCAUUCAAGCACAAGUAAACCAUUUUUGAGGAAAAUGUUAGUAGGAGGAACGUCAUUGAUGAAAUUGAUGAGCUAUAGAAACUUUUGUAAUAGGCCGAUAUUAUCGAAAAGGAACUCUGACACUAUUUUGGAUUAUCAAAAGAGGCCCUUGUUGAAGAAGUCAGAGUGAGUGUACAUACUGAAAGGUGCAACCCUGUCAGGAAAUAACAUGGUGGGUCAUGUUACUUGGGGGUCUCAGAGACCAGGGACUGGGAAGAGGAAGAGGGCCCAAGUAAAACCUAUAAAGAACAACCAUCAAUUCACAGAUGGUGAAAAAGAAAGGGAGUGGGUGGAUGGAGUGAAGGAUGAAGGCUGGGUAGACGACUGAACAGAGAGGGAGAGAGGCUCUUACGCGGCUGUUCAUCCAUUCAUUGCCAUGGGCUCUUGUCCUCGUCUCUCCUCCCCUGCUCCACCCUCCCAUCCCAGGGCCCUUUGAAGGGAGUGCGGCCCCAAAAGGCAGCUCCUGAGUGGGCUGGUGAGGCAUGAAUAAGUCCCUGCUGGUUACCAGCACCUCUGGAGAUGACGGCAAGAGAAAUCAAUAUGGAGAAGAGAAUGUGGAGAACAGAGUGGGGUUGUCCAGGUUAGCCCAUGGCCUAAGGGCCUGGAGACCUCCAGAGGAGGCCUAUCUUGACCUCGCUCAGCCCCAGCCAAGGCUCCUCAGACUGGGCCUGGGUCCCUAACCACACUGGGUGUGUGUUGUUCUGCUGGAAGGGGCCUCCCAACAACAUGAUACACACUCUCCUGAGUUAUUAUGAUUAUUUUCUUAGAAUGCUAAAGGGGAUUUCCAUCUCUCUUUAUUUCUGCUUUCUUAAAAAAAGAUUGACGUACUCCCCCACCUGCACCCUGUAGCUGUGUGUGAAUGCUGGUGGGGGGGUUCUGGUUUUUGAUCCAGACCUCAGAUCCACUCACUGCUUAUUCCCGGGGACGCUUUUACAUUUGUCAAAGAGACAGUAACGUCUCAUUUUUAAACUUCUAUUUUUCUUUUCUACACUGGCGUGCUUCACCCACAGCGAUAUACAAACCACAACAACCACUGAAAUCCAUUUAGUUUUAUCAGGCUCUUCAUUGUUCAAUUCCAAUUGGCAUGAUCAAAGAACAUAGAACGAAAGACAACAACCCAUGAAAAGUAAAGCCCAGGUCAGAUCCCCUAUAAAUGUAGUUCAUUCAUUUUGACCAGCUAGAAUAAAAGGGACAUAAAGGACCCUGGAAAACACAAGGCCAUCAACAGGAGCAGUACAGAUAACUGGACACUCCCUGGAAAACACAAGGCCAUCAACAGGAGCAGUACAGAUAACUGGACACUCCCUGGAAAACACAAGGCCAUCAACAGGAGCAGUACA